ACCGCCUGCGCAUGUGCAGUCCUGGCUUCGGCUCUGUUAAUUGGUCAUCGUUUUCUGCUUUCCUGAUGCGUCUCAUGGUGCAAAUUGCAAUUUUGAUCCUUAGACCCAGAAUAAAAGUACAACAGUAGACCAGAGGGCACCACUGGAGUAGGAUACAUAAUCACCCUGGAUAACCUUACUUUGAUUUGAUUUUGCCCUGGACUCUACCAUCGCCAUCGAACCUAACUAUUAUGGACUUGGCCAGACCACUCAAAACAUUCUUAAGCAGACAGCCCUGACCAUAACUUUGCAAUUUGUUU